rnacentral:rRNA from 1 species
AUUGAACGCUGGCGGCAGGCCUAACACAUGCAAGUCGAGCGGAUGAAGGGAGCUUGCUCCUGGAUUCAGCGGCGGACGGGUGAGUAAUGCCUAGGAAUCUGCCUGGUCGUGGGGGAUAACGUCCGGAAACGGGCGCUAAUACCGCAUACGUCCUGAGGGUGAAAGUGGGGGAUCUUCGGACCUCACGCUAUCUGAUGAGCCUAGGUCGGAUUAGCUAGUUGGUGGGGUAAAGGCCUACCAAGGCGACGAUCCGUAACUGGUCUGAGAGGAUGAUCAGUCACACGGGAACUGAGACACGGUCCAGACUCCUACGGGAGGCAGCAGUGGGGAAUAUUGGACAAUGGGCGAAAGCCUGAUCCAGCCAGGCCGCGUGUGUGAAGAAGGUCUUCGGAUUGUAAAGCACUUUAAGUUGGGAGGAAGGGCAGUAAGUUAAUACCUCGCUGUUUGAACGUGACCAACAGAAUAAGCACCGGCGAACUUCGU